GGCAGGGAUAAAGGGAAACUGGAAGCUCUCGGAAUCUAAAUGUGACAGUCGAUGGCUGAGGAGAGGGUCAGAAGGAAUAGAAUCUGUGACACGUAUGAGAAAGGAACAAAAUUUAUCUGCUCUGGUUGCAAUGAUUAGAUGUCUCUUUGUCUGGCUUUCCUUGCAGUGGGUGACUGAUCGUACCCGCCAGCUGGCUAAUGUCAUAAUUAACAAAGUUGCUACUACAUCUGCAAAGUUUAAUCGAAAAAUUUGCCAGUGAUAUGAUGGCCUUGUCACAGAGAUCACAAGGGACACGGAGUUGACUUUUGCUCAAGGUGGAACGACAGAGCUGUGUAGGCAAGAUGAGAAAUUGCGAACUUGUUCGGCCAAAGGAGGCUAAUAAUGAAGGGGCCGGGAAGGAGGCCAGUGCUACCAGGGUUAUCUCACAACCUCAGAUGCUGGAUAAGUCGACGGAGGCAGAAUCGCUUUGGGAUGACAUUCAGAAAGCCUGGAGUGAUUACUUGCAAGAGAAAAGCCUACCUAUUCUUUCCAAGGUAAACAGUUCAUUUCAUCUGUCAGUGGCAUGUUUCAGUAUACAAAUAUGUUUAUAUAAAGAUAUCUAUAAAGUUUUCCUUUUAAAAAAUCAUUUUAGGUGCAGGAAUAUUCCCCUGACCUGCUCAUCCAGUGGUCCAGUAAUGAAUUACUGGAGACCUGCCUUAGACAAAGAAUGCACUCGGAGCCCCAACACACCUAAAGCCAUGCUUUGAAGGAUCUGCCAAGCUCACUUUUAAUCAUGAGAAAGAAAUUACCCACACGGAGUCAGCAGAAAAUGAGAAAGUAGAGCUCGUGCUGUGAAUAAUUCCAGCAAGUGCCAAGGGGCUAGUUGAGGAAUGGCUUCAUGAGGUGAAUAUCUUUAGCUUGUACUUAGGGUUUGGUUAGCGUAUAAUCAUUUUCUCUUUUAGGAGCAAUGACUAUCAUACAUGUAUUUCCUAACUAAAGAGUGCUCAGAGCAUUUGUCAGGUUGUUGACAGAUUUAAUAUCAGUCUUGCCCAUGUUGUUAUUUACUAUGACUAAUUUUACGUUUGUAAAUAUGCAAAAAUCAAUUUAGGCGGAAAGGCUCUCCUCCGAGCCAAUGACUGCUACUAGCUGUAUGCAUUUGUGUGUAUUGCUGUGAGUGCAUGUCCAGUAGUUUAUGUCUCUGUGUCUGUAUGUGCCCUUGUUCUGUCUUCUCUCUGUUGUGAACGCAGGUUGGGAGAAUUAGCCAACCAUUGGGUUCUCAGAUGUGGUCCCAGGCUUUCAUUUGAUUUUUGGAACGGGAAAAAAAGAA
rnacentral:lncRNA from 1 species